rnacentral:tRNA from 1 species
GCUGCUAUAGUGUAGACCGGCCAAUCAUCCCGGCCUUUCACGCCGGGGACUGGGGUUCAAAUCCCCAUAGCAGCA